GAUGAAGAACGUAGCAAAAUGCGAUAAGUAAUGUGAAUUGCAGAAUUCAGUGAAUCAUCAAAUCUUUGAACGCACAUUGCGCCCGCCAGUAUUCUGGCGGGCAUGCCUGUUCGAGCGUCAUUUCAACCCUCAAGCACAGCUUGGUGUUGGGACUCGCGUUAAUUCGCGUUCCUCAAAUUGAUUGGCGGUCACGUCGAGCUUCCAUAGCGUAGUAGUAAAACCCUCGUUACUGGUAAUCGUCGCGGCCACGCCGUUAAACCCCAACUUCUGAAUGUUGACCUCGGAUCAGGUAGGAAUACCCGCUGAACUUAAGCAUAUCAAUAAGCGGAGGA
rnacentral:misc_RNA from 1 species